GUGAGGGAGGGAUGGACAGAAACAGAUAUCUGAUAUCAUCUAGGGGUUGGUCUGUACACAUUUACUCAAAAAAAGAAAAAUAAAUCAGGAAAAAAAGGUGGGAGGGAAAGGAGAAGAAGGGAGAGGGAGACAGAUGAAUGGAUGCAAGGACAAACGGAUGGACAGAGAGGCGGGAUUUGGAGGACAAGAAAGCUAAUUAUCCAGCUCGUCUGUUGGGCUGCACGGGGAGAGGAAGUGAUGCGAGCUACUAUAGGACAUGCACCCCUCUAUCCCCUCCCCAUCCACAGUUUCCUGCUGUGCUCUGAUGUCAGCUCUCUUUAGACAACAUGUGUGCUACCGACACGUGCCAGAAAGAAACUCUUUGUUUACCCCCCCACGCCAUCUAUUCUUCCCUCCAUAGCCUCCAUCUUUGUUCUGCGUACCAGCAGGCUCCCUGGUUGCUGAAGAGAACCACAGCUCAGCUGAGAUGUGCUCCCGUACACAUUGUUAUGGAGUAGAGACCCGUCUGAAUCAUCCAGAAGGAGAGGAAACGGGUCCAGGAAACCAUAAUCAGAAGUUCCAAGAGAGAAAAGUUUCAGUGCCAGGACUACCUUCAGCUCUGGGCAAUCACCCUCAUGAACAUGGAUGCCUGAUUUCAUGGGGAUGAAAGAACUCUUGGAAGAUUUGUUGCCUCACAAACUUCCCUCUUCUGCCCGACACAGAGUAGGCGCACCGGCCUCGGCUAACCGCGACUACACCGACUCCAAACACACGACCAUCCACUUGCUCCUAUCUGGCAUGUGUAAAUGUGAACGAUGGGCACUUCUUACUGCGGCCUAUGGGAUGUGUGAACACAACAUGGGAAGAGAUGUGGCCAGAUGAAGACGAAGAAAAGAAGAAAAGUAAGAAAGUGAAGAAAGACUGGAGCAAACAAACAAAUCAAACUUCGUAAAGCCCUCUGCUGGGCUGGGGCCGGGUCUGGAGUGAGUGUAUGUGUAUAUAUGAGGCGAUGUGAACAGAGUGCCGGGGAUUAGGACAGAUCCUGGGCUGUCCAACUCACAGCUGGCUGAUGAUCCAAUCCUGGAGCACAGCGCAGCGCACCAGCCGCCAUGGGACCCCCGGAUGCGUGCCUGCAUCUGCGCGUGUGUGUCUGUGUGUACCGGCAUGUGGGUUCAACCGAUGUGCAUAUCAAUGUACAUGUUUGCAAAAAUGCAGUUGUACAAAUAAACAGGCUUGUGUGUUUGCAGUUUGUGCACCGAAUGGAAGGUAGGGGCUGUCGAAAUUCAAACAGUAGUCUCAGCUUCAUGUUUGAAGGCAAGCUGUGAUGGUUUGGGCCAAGAGUGGAGGAAAGCAUGAAAGGGAGGAACGAGCAAGUUAUAAAGAGAGACCCAAAGAGCUUGCUGCGGAGGCUGGUCAGACAAACACCUUCCAGCUUUGCUAGCAGAAACACACACACACACAUAUGCACACACACACUGUACAGGACAGCAAGAGAGGCUAUGACAAUGAAUAAAAUACAUGCAUAUCUAUGUAGCUCUCAAAUGACGUUGUAGAAGGAGCAAGAAUCUUUUGAACGUUGUUUUGUGAAGAAGAAAAAAAGCAUCAGUGACAAGAAAGGGAAAAAUGCAAAAAUAUUUUUUAAAUUAAAAAACAGUAGUGGACUAAACCGAAACAAAGACUGUGGACAUGUACAUGUGUCUUUACUAAUCUGAUCUGCAGCCUAACUCACAAAACAAACUUGUUCAUCCUAAAUUGUAUUAAACAACAAAUCAAAGUUUUACAACUUUACUUAAAUAUAAAAAGGGGCUUUAGUGCUAAGAUCUGUUUAACUUGAUUAUGAAGCGUUUGACUUUCCUCAUGUAAAGAUAAAUUUAUGAAUUUUAUCAACCUAUAAAAGCACAAUAUCUAAAAUUUCUAAUUCAUUUUGUCAGAUAUAAUUAAUAAAAUGUGUAUCUCCCACUUAAGCGAAUGUACUUCAGACUUUAAAACCAGAUUCGGGUUUUGAAGAACAUUUUUUGACUGACAAUGACCACAAUUAUAAUACUUUGUUGUUAAAAGUGAGCAUCUAAGAGCUCUUCAUAUGAAACUGAAGGAAAAGUAAUAUCCACACAUAAUUCCAAUUAUUGCACUGCUCUGGGUGGCUGCAUGUUGGAGUAGCUCUGUCAACUACAUGUAAGUUUAGCCUUUUUCUUCUAGCAUCUUAAGGAAAAACUGUAUUUUUUGGACCUUUCACUUUUCUGUUUCUGAUGCUGUGAAGCUUAGAGGAUUUUUACAGC